rnacentral:rRNA from 1 species
AUUGAACGCUGGCGGCAGGCCUAACACAUGCAAGUCGAGCGAGCGGCGGACGGGUGAGUAAUGUAUGGGGACUGCCCGAUAGAGGGGGAUAACUACUGGAAAAGGUAGCUAAUACCGCAUACUAUCGGAUAACCCAUAUGGGAUUAGCUAGUAGGUGAGGUAAUGGCUCACCUAGGCGACGAUCCCUAGCUGGUCUGAGAGGAUGAUCAGCCACACUGGUAAUGAGACAAGGCCCGGACUCCUCCGGAGGCAGCCGUGGGGGAUAAUGCACCAUGGGCGCAAGCCUUGUGCAACCAUGCCGCGUGUAUGAAGAAGGCCCUAGGGUUGUAAAGUACUUUUAAUCGGGAGGCGUUACCGACAGAAGAAGCACCGGCUAACUCCGUGCCAGCAGCCACGGUAAUAC